AUUUAGGUGUAUGUUGCAUAUGAAAUUUUGAUUUUCAAGGGUUUAGUUAGAUUCUAAAAAGUAUAA
rnacentral:tRNA from 1 species